rnacentral:misc_RNA from 1 species
UACGUAGGGGGCAAGCGUUGUCCGGAAUUAUUGGGCGUAAAGCGCGCGCAGGCGGUUCCUUAAGUCUGAUGUGAAAGCCCACGGCUUAACCGUGGAGGGUCAUUGGAAACUGGGGAACUUGAGUACAGAAGAGGAGAGCGGAAUUCCACGUGUAGCGGUGAAAUGCGUAGAUAUGUGGAGGAACACCAGUGGCGAAGGCGGCUCUCUGGUCUGUAACUGACGCUGAGGGGCGAAGGCGUGGGGGGGGAAGAGG